GACGAACGCUGGCGGCGUGCUUAACACAUGCAAGUCGUACGGUAAGGCCCUUUCGGGGGUACACGAGUGGCGAACGGGUGCGUAACACGUGAGUAACCUGCCCACAACUUUGGGAUAACGCUAGGAAACUGGUGCUAAUACUGGAUAUGUGCUCCUGCUGCAUGGUGGGGGUUGGAAAGCUCCGGCGGUUGUGGAUGGACUCGCGGCCUAUCAGCUUGUUGGUGGGGUAGUGGCCUACCAAGGCGGCGACGGGUAGCCGGCCUGAGAGGGUGACCGGCCACAUUGGGACUGAGAUACGGCCCAGACUCCUACGGGAGGCAGCAGUGGGGAAUAUUGCACAAUGGGCGCAAGCCGGAUGCAGCAACGCCGCGUGCGGGAUGACGGACUUCGGGUUGUAAACCGCUUUCAGCAGGGACGAAGCUUUUUGUGACGGUACCUGCAGAAGAAGCACCGGCUAACUACGUG
rnacentral:rRNA from 1 species